rnacentral:misc_RNA from 1 species
GUGAAUAACAUAUAUUGUUUAAUAAGAGCAAAUGGCAAACAUUUUUUCUUAUUUUUUGAGAAGGCAUGCAAUUCUUUUUGAACAAAAUUUAUAGAUGUAUUGAGCGGUUAAAGUCAAACAGUAUUCACAGUGUCUGCCAGGGCACGCAAAAUGCAACCCAAGCCAGCUUUCUCGGUCAACUUUUCAUGUAUACGUAAACACUGGUCACACGUGGGUCGAUCUCCUGUAGACAAACCCCUAUACAAGUACUUCAUAAGAAUAUCAUAGUACUCAGGGUCCAAAGUAGAGAACAUCCCAUCCACAUCUUNAUCUUUUAUAGCCAUGAUCGCUCUAUGCACCACUAUCCAAUUCGCAGACUUGCAUCGCUCGUCUCUAGUCUUAGGAGGCGAGCCUUCGAGGGCGGUUUUGAGAGCUUCCACAGGUUUGAACAGUUUAAGUAAGCUUUCGAUCUUGCGAGAUUUGUGUUCGAUUCUGGUGAUUAUGGCCUCUGCAUUAUCUGCCUCCACAAAUUCCUCCUUCCCAGCCAUCGGAGAUCUGCUCUCUCGCCCUCUUUUCG